GACCAGACUCCUACGGGAGGCAGCAGUGGGGAAUAUUGCACAAUGGGGGGAACCCUGAUGCAGCGACGCCGCGUGAGUGAAGAAGUAUUUCGGUAUGUAAAGCUCUGUCAGCAGGGAAGAAGAAAGACGGUACCUGACCAAGAAGCCCCGGCUAACUACGUGCCAGCAGCCGCGGUAAUACGUAGGGGGCAAGCGUUAUCCGGAUUUACUGGGUGUAAAGGGAGCGUAGACGGCAGGGCAAGUCUGGAGUGAAAGGCAGGGGCCCAACCCCUGGACUGCUCUGGAAACUGUCCGGCUGGAGUGCGGGAGGGGCAGGCGGAAUUCCUGGUGUAGCGGUGAAAUGCGUAGAUAUCAGGAGGAACACCGGCGGCGAAGGCGGCCUGCUGGACCGCGACUGACGUUGAGGCUCGAAAGCGUGGGGAGCGAACAGGAUUAGAUACCCCAGUA
rnacentral:rRNA from 1 species